GAGGUCAGAUAGCACGUCGAAGAAGGCGUGAUCGCGCCUGAAGUAACGUCGUCCAACACGCACCUCGAUCCCGACGCCAUCUACCCCGACAUACCCCGCGAAUACAUCAGUUGAUGUUCGCGAGACGGUGGAGUUCCUCUUUAAUGGUCACGGUGCACCCAUAAGACCACCCGGGUCUGAUCGCCUUCUCGUUCUGAUCAACGGAAUCAAGUGUCUUUCUUCCUUCGAACAGAUCGUACUUACAUCAGUCGAUCGCGACUCUAACAGAAGCAGAAAUCCUCGGGGAAACCGAUCUGUGAAGCUUUUACCGAUCUACACUAACGGACGAAAGCUAGAAAGAAAUAGUCGAAUGUAAAGAAAGGACAGGCACACAAGUAUUAUAUGUACACACAUACACGUGAACCGAAAGAUUCCUAUUGCCCGAGAAAAGCGUAUCCGACCCGACGGACCUAAGGAGGAACUCCACCAACCACUGAACGAUCGAGCCACCCGCGUGAAAGAAACAAACACUGACAGACGCGAACACCGUAGCAAGUUUAACGAAACGUAUAAUCAAAACAAAAGAACAAAAAAAAAAAAAA